AGAGUUUGAUCCUGGCUCAGGAUGAACGCUGGCGGCGUGCUUAACACAUGCAAGUCGAACGAUGAUCCCAGCUUGCUGGGGGAUUAGUGGCGAACGGGUGAGUAACACGUGAGUAACCUGCCCUUGACUCUGGGAUAAGCCUGGGAAACUGGGUCUAAUACCGGAUAUGACUCCUCAUCGCAUGGUGGGGGGUGGAAAGCUUUUGUGGUUUUGGAUGGACUCGCGGCCUAUCAGCUUGUUGGUGGGGUAAUGGCCUACCAAGGCGACGACGGGUAGCCGGCCUGAGAGGGUGACCGGCCACACUGGGACUGAGACACGGCCCAGACUCCUACGGGAGGCAGCAGUGGGGAAUAUUGCACAAUGGGCGCAAGCCUGAUGCAGCGACGCCGCGUGAGGGAUGACGGCCUUCGGGUUGUAAACCUCUUUCAGUAGGGAAGAAGCGAAAGUGACGGUACCUGCAGAAGAAGCGCCGGCUAACUACGUGCCAGCAGCCGCGGUAAUACGUAGGGCGCAAGCGUUAUCCGGAAUUAUUGGGCGUAAAGAGCUCGUAGGCGGUUUGUCGCGUCUGCUGUGAAAGACCGGGGCUCAACUCCGGUUCUGCAGUGGGUACGGGCAGACUAGAGUGCAGUAGGGGAGACUGGAAUUCCUGGUGUAGCGGUGAAAUGCGCAGAUAUCAGGAGGAACACCGAUGGCGAAGGCAGGUCUCUGGGCUGUAACUGACGCUGAGGAGCGAAAGCAUGGGGAGCGAACAGGAUUAGAUACCCUGGUAGUCCAUGCCGUAAACGUUGGGCACUAGGUGUGGGGGACAUUCCACGUUUUCCGCGCCGUAGCUAACGCAUUAAGUGCCCCGCCUGGGGAGUACGGCCGCAAGGCUAAAACUCAAAGGAAUUGACGGGGGCCCGCACAAGCGGCGGAGCAUGCGGAUUAAUUCGAUGCAACGCGAAGAACCUUACCAAGGCUUGACAUGAACCGGUAAUACCUGGAAACAGGUGCCCCGCUUGCGGUCGGUUUACAGGUGGUGCAUGGUUGUCGUCAGCUCGUGUCGUGAGAUGUUGGGUUAAGUCCCGCAACGAGCGCAACCCUCGUUCUAUGUUGCCAGCGCGUUAUGGCGGGGACUCAUAGGAGACUGCCGGGGUCAACUCGGAGGAAGGUGGGGACGACGUCAAAUCAUCAUGCCCCUUAUGUCUUGGGCUUCACGCAUGCUACAAUGGCCGGUACAAAGGGUUGCGAUACUGUGAGGUGGAGCUAAUCCCAAAAAGCCGGUCUCAGUUCGGAUUGGGGUCUGCAACUCGACCCCAUGAAGUCGGAGUCGCUAGUAAUCGCAGAUCAGCA
rnacentral:rRNA from 1 species